GGGGCUAUAGCGCAGUUGGGAGCGCGCUUGAAUGGCAUUCAAGAGGUCAGGGGUUCGAACCCCCUUAGCUCCA
rnacentral:tRNA from 1 species